AUUGAACGCUGGCGGCAGGCCUAACACAUGCAAGUCGAGCGAGCGGCGGACGGGAGAGUAAUGUCUGGGAAACUGCCUGAUGGAGGGGGAUAACUAGUGGACACGGGCGCUAAUACCGCAUACCAUCAGAUGUGCCCAGAUGGGUAUAGCUAGUAGGUGGGGGAAUGGCUCACCUAGGCGACGAUCCCUAGCUGGUCUGAGAGGAUGACCAGCCACACUGGAACGGAGAAACGGUCCAGACUCCUACGGGAGGCAGCAGUGGGGAAGAUUGCACAAUGGGCGCAAGCCUGAUGCAGCCAUGCCGCGUGUGUGAAGAAGGCCUUAGGGUUGUAAAGCACUGUCAGCGAGGAGGCGUUACUCGCAGAAGAAGCACCGGCUAACGCCGUGCCAGCAGCCGCGGUAAUAC
rnacentral:rRNA from 1 species